UGACGACUGGUAUCCUGAGCUGGGAUUAACUGAAAAACUGGAGCUUGUAAAACCAACAGUUUACAUCCUCAAUAAUAAAUUACAUAUUGUCAUCUCAUCAGUUAAACUUAGAAUGAUCUCUGACAUCUGCUGCCGGCGCUCCCUGGAGAACAAAUGGUCACAAAAGUGAACUGUGUUUCUGGGUGCAUACAGACUUCAGUCCAUGCACUGCCCAUGCAACCAUUCCCAUAGCUUUGGAUGAGCAGCCCAAAAUAAAUUGUCGAUAAAUGCAGUAAACAACAGGCUGCUUUCUUUCCGAGCAAGUUCUAUGAAGUCAUCAUCCAUUU